rnacentral:rRNA from 1 species
UACAGAGGUCCCGAGCGUUGUUCGGAUUCACUGGGCGUAAAGGGUGCGUAGGUGGUGAGGUAAGUCGGAUGUGAAAUCUCCGGGCUCAACCCGGAAAUGGCAUUGGAAACUACCUUGCUGGAGGAUUUGAGGGGGGAUUGGAAUACUUGGUGUAGCAGUGAAAUGCGUAGAUAUCAAGUGGAACACCAGAGGCGAAGGCGGCUACCUGGACAAUUGCUGACGCUCAGGCACGAAAGCGUGGGGAGCAAAAGGG